GCCCGCCUAGCUCAAUCGGAUAGAGCGUCAGACUCUUACGGCGUCUUUCGACUAGGCAAUCUGAAGGCUGCGAGUUCGACCCUCGCGGUGGGCU
rfam:Gloeophyllum trabeum ATCC 11539 unplaced genomic scaffold GLOTRscaffold_00018, whole genome shotgun sequence.